GUCGGACUGGUGCUGUAUUUCUUUUAUCUUGCUGUCGUUGUAGGGAGUAGUGUUUCUGUAUCCACAGUCGAGGCUUAUGAACCCUGCAUAACGGAGAAUAUGAAUCGGUUUCAUGUGUUUCAGGUUCAAGAUGAUCAUGACAUGUAGCACUAGCUAGGUAUUCGGUAGCUAAUAAUACGCCUAUUGUUAAAGAAUUUCAGUAAAGUGGGAUUUAUUUAGUUGCAUGCUGAAGCAAAUUACUCCCUCUGUUUUUAAAUACAAGUCUUUUUUAAGAUUUCACUAGUACGCUACAUACGGAGCAAAAUGAGUGGAUCUAUACUCUAAAGUAUGUCUAUAUACAUCCGUAUGUAGUCUCUUAGUGAAACCUCUAAAAAGAUUUAUAUGAAUGUGCAGGUGGAGCAGGAAUUAAAGAAUCGCAGGAUCGAUAAAUGAAGCUAGGAGGGUAUGGUUUGCAUUACCUGAAGUAGACUGGCCAUGGAGUCGAGUAAUCAUGAUGAGCAACAAAGCCAAGAUCCAUGUCAGUCUUUUGUUUGCCGAGCAACUGAAGCGGAAUACCAUGGUGCUCUUGGGUUCAUGCAUUGUCGGGAAGCAAUCAUGCAAAUCAACAAGCUUCGUAUCUGCGACAAGUGACUUGUGUGCGUAGUACUUUUNNN
rnacentral:lncRNA from 1 species